UACGUAGGGUGCGAGCGUUGUCCGGAAUUAUUGGGCGUAAAGGGCUCGUAGGCGGUUUGUCGCGUCGGGAGUGAAAACUCAGGGCUUAACCCUGAGCCUGCUCCCGAUACGGGCAGACUAGAGGUAUGCAGGGGAGAACGGAAUUCCUGGUGUAGCGGUGAAAUGCGCAGAUAUCAGGAGGAACACCGGUGGCGAAGGCGGGUCUCUGGGCCGUAACUGACGCUGAGGAGCGAAAGCGUGGGGAGCAAACAGG
rnacentral:rRNA from 1 species